UACGGAGGGUGCAAGCGUUAUCCGGAUUCACUGGGUUUAAAGGGUGCGUAGGUGGGUUGGUAAGUCAGUGGUGAAAUCUCCAGGCUUAACUUGGAAACUGCCAUUGAUACUAUCAAUCUUGAAUACCGUGGAGGUCAGCGGAAUAUGUCAUGUAGCGGUGAAAUGCUUAGAUAUGACAUAGAACACCAAUUGCGAAGGCAGCUUACUACAGGAAUAUUGACACUGAUGCACGAAAGCGUGGGGAUCAAACAGG
rnacentral:rRNA from 1 species